rnacentral:rRNA from 3 species
CCUGGCGGCAGUAGCGCGGUGGUCCCACCUGACCCCAUGCCGAACUCAGAAGUGAAACGCUGUAGCGCCGAUGGUAGUGUGGGGUCUCCCCAUGCGAGAGUAGGGAACUGCCAGGC